rnacentral:rRNA from 1 species
AUUAGAUACCCUGGUAGUCCGCGCGGUAAACGAUGGAUGCCCGCUGUCGGCGAUAUACAGUCGGCGGCCAAGCGAAAGCGUUAAGCAUCCCACCUGGGGAGUACGCCGGCAACGGUGAAACUCAAAGGAAUUGACGGGGGCCCGCACAAGCGGAGGAACAUGUGGUUUAAUUCGAUGAUACGCGAGGAACCUUACCCGGGCUUGAAUUGCAGAGGAAAGAUCCAGAGAUGGUGAUGCCCUUCGGGGCCUCUGUGAAGGUGCUGCAUGGUUGUCGUCAGCUCGUGCCGUGAGGUGUCGGCUUAAGUGCCAUAACGAGCGCAACCCCUUUCCCUAGUUGCCAUCGGUUCUAGCCGGGCACUCUGGGGACACUGCCUCCGCAAGGAGUGAGGAAGGUGGGGAUGACGUCAAAUCAGCACGGCCCUUACGUCCGGGGCUACACACGUGUUACAAUGGGUGAUACAGAGGGCCGGCCGCUGGCAACAUCGGUCCAAUCCUUAAAGUCAUCCUCAGUUCGGACUGGGGUCUGCAACCCGACCCCACGAAGCUGGAUUCGCUAGUAAUCGCGCAUCAGCCAUGGCGCGGUGAAUACGUUCCCGGGCCUUGUACACACCGCCCGUCAAGCCAUGAAAGCCGGGGGCGCCUGAAGUCCGUGACCGCGAGGGUCGGCCUAGGGUGAAACCGGUGAUUGGGGCUAAGUCGUAACAAGGUACCAAGGGCGAAUCGCGGCC